GGCAAGGUGGCCGAAUUGGUGAAAGCGGCAGGCUGUAACCCUGUUACAUAAGAACCAUUGGGGGUUCGAAUCCCUCCCUUGUCACCA
rnacentral:tRNA from 1 species